AUCUGGAUGACGAGUCCCAAGUUGGACGAAAUAUGCGUCCUGGAU
rnacentral:hammerhead_ribozyme from 1 species